rnacentral:rRNA from 1 species
GAGACGCAACUUGCAAUUUUUUUCCUAGUUCGUGUAUCACGUAAGCAAUUCGUGGUGAUAGACACUCACAAUGGCCCGAAGCACAAUAUAAUAUCAAGCACCAAUGGUCCACAAUAGUUUUCAGUACUGCAAAUCCUUGUAGUCUACUGGCUUCACUCAAAUGGGACAGCGUGCCUUGCACUCAGCCGAUGUAUUUAUACUUGCACAUGCAUAGCCGCCUGGUCAAACUUUGCAGAACUAUCACUUAUUAGUCACUCCACCAUAAGAAAUACAUUACCAGCUUAACACCUUGGCAUGUUUAGAAUUUCAAUGAAGGAAGAUUGAAUAGCGAUAUAAAUUUGGAAACAAUUAGGACCGUGUCUUGUGAUGUUGUUAGCUAAAUAACUCAAGAAAAAGAUGAUCUUGUCACUAAGCCAGAUCUGGAAUUGCCUCCAAAAGCCAAAUCGUGCAACUUGAAAAUUACGAGGAAAUCAGUAGUACACGAAAUCAUUAGCUUAACAGAGUGUCAGAUCGGAUAGUAUUAGUUUGUAAAAGAUACCCUAAUUGAUAUAAACUCAAUAUUCAUCGAUCUGAUUCUCCAACAAAUAUGAAAAGGCAACUCUAAAUUGCUCAAAAAUAAUAAUGAAACUCCUAUUUGCUUGAGACAAACAGAAAAUACCUUAAGAGGGAGGUGGCAAAGAUUAGAAUUUAGUAAAGGACACCGAUGACAGUAGUUGCUUCCUCUUCGUCAAAUAUCCCCCCAUGUCUUCCUUGGGACCGUCAAAAGAAUGCAAUAGUGGAGCGUUACAAAUCGAUCGGUUCAAUCUAACUCAAACAACAGCUCAUGGAUCCCUUCAAACCAAUACGAAGUUGAAGCCCUCGGACUGGCCGUGGCGAAUUCUGACGAUGUAGCAGGGCAAGCCUCAAAACGUGUCGCUAGCGAACGAGCCACCAAUUCUGCUGGAUGACGCGUCCCAAUUAGAAAUCGUGCGAGAGCUGGACGCCUCUCCAUCCACGGCCACAUCAUGUCUCGCGGACUUGUAUGUACGUCUGGGUCCUGAGGUUACGCUUGCGCCUACGUCCGUGCUGCGAUGAUAGACGCAAACCACCACACGCCAUGGGUGGAGAAGGAGCACCCUCUGCUCGCCCGCGCCGACGUCGCUGAAGGACAAGCCGCUUUCCUCGGCGACGGCGAGGCCCAGGCCGCCAGGUUUUGAUAUCGCGGUGACCGACUCAGAUGCAAGGCAAAGGAGAGGGAAAGUAGAGGAUCGGGGAUUGGGGCUGAUAUGGUUUAUGCGGAUGCAAGGGGAAGAGGAGGAGUCCGACACGUUGUGGCUUUC